GUGGUCACCUCGCCGGUGGCCGGGUCGACGCGCACGGCGUAGGGGAGGUCUGACUCGCCCAGCGCGUAGAGGCGCCCGCCGAAGAAGGCGAGGCUGGUGUUGGCGAGCCCCACGCCCUCGGCCGGGUUCAUCUGCCCCGUCAGCACCCUUGCCGCCACGACGGCGCCGCGCGCGAACCCGGCCAGGCCGUGGAAGCCGGAGAAGACGUUCGGCAUCACCGGCGCGCCGGCGUCGCGCUCCACGAUGUACUUGUACGUCUGCACGUACCGCGAGCACAGAAUGGGGUCGGCCGACGGCGGCGAGUCCGCCGCCGGGAGGAGCAGGGAGUGCAGCAUGCCGUCGCCGUCGAAGAGGUGGUGCGGCCCGCGCGGGAGGUGCUGCGGGUUGGGCCCGUUGCGGAUGUAGGCCCCACCGGCGAGGCAGCGUGGGAUGACGCCGCGCACGACGGGGCAGGGCGUCGGCGGCAGCUCGUCGACGGGAGCCCAGUUGGCAGACAGCACGUUCCGCGGGUCCACCGACGGCCGCAGCGCCGGCGGGUCCACGAACGUGUUGA
rnacentral:lncRNA from 1 species